AGAUGACCCAUCCACCACAGCCCGCCUCGCCUCUCAUGGGCUUGUCCCCGACCUCGCCGUCCCAGCUCAAUCUCGCCGCAAAGCUCUCCCUCCACCGAGCCGGGUGUCGAACCUGUUCGCACCACCAGGGCUGCUUAGAUCCGUUUCCCCGCAUCCCGUGCUUCGAGUCCACCUAACGGGUGUGCUCACCGUCUACCUUGCUGCCCAGACUCGACCCACUCCAAUGCCACCGAUUGUUGAUGCGGCCGCCGGUCCACCUCGCCGAUGCGCCAUUCUGUUGACUGGUGUCCGUGCUCGCCAGGACCGCCGCGGUGUUUGUGAUUCACCAGGCUGCCCGAAGAGUGUUUGUCAGCCCAAGAACUAGCAGCGCCAAAGUUUAUCCAGGGUAAUGAAGCAAGGCACGAGGUCUUGGCGACCUUGCUUGGCCACCAGGCUCCAUCUCCCGCGACAUGCUACCUGCUGACGACCACCUAUGGUUCCUUUCUGUUGUGCUAACAACCACUCCUUUGAUCACAAUGACAUGUUACAUCUCUGAUCUCCCCAGAGUGCUCUCACCGGAAUGCUCCCUUGCCGACGUGGUCAAUGGCGGCACUCGGGGCGCAGCAUGGUGACUAUGAUCCAGCGGCUUCGUCUCUGUGGUCUCAAAGUGACCGGCUCCUUGCCUUAGUGUGAAUGUUGUGAUUCUUGUAACAUAUGCAAUGUUUCAGGGAUAUGUAUAUUAAGUAUUCUAGUGACCCUGUAUAUGUUCUUCCAUUGUUUUCAGUACCAUACAUGUGCUUUGGUAUCAUAUGUGUCAUGCUUCCAACUUAUGUACAAUAAGCUUCGAAA